CGCGGCACACAUGUUUUGAUGUUUAGCUAGCUGCUGUCAAUUUCGUGCACACUUCAUGUUCAACUUUAAGCUCAGUUUUCUUGCAAAGAUACGUCUGUCCUUUUCAGAGGGAGUAAGCGAUUAUCGUUGAGAGAGGAGGAUGUGUCUACGGCGAAAACAGCCGUAUAUUUCAGGGCUCAAACAAUGAUAUCUGCCAGAAUGAACAAGCGUCAGUGGGACUUCGACCACCGAGACGAUGCUGGCUUACACCAUGCAAAGAAGGCCAAGCCUGCUCAGGAAUGGCCACACACCUACAGAACGGGAGUGAUCAUCACCCGGAUCAACCCCCACGCCGACGUACCAGUCAACCUCAUCCUGGAUUCCAUCAAGCAGGAUCUCGGCGACUACCAGUGGGUAUGCUACGAGCACGAUCCAAGUCAUGGCGGCCUCGCAUGCAAGGUCAGGGGCAAACACCUGCACCUGCUGGUGGUAAGCCUGCCCGCCGGGGAGACAGCUACAUACUAAAACCCUCAGCCGCAACAUGAAAACCAACCGCCCUCAGCGCCCUGUCGUCUCAUAGACGAAAACUUGCCCCGCAACCAAGAAGACAAAGACCCGAUGUUCAAGUUCGUACCAUCCUUGGAGGCCAUUGAGAAAAUGACCAAAUACAAAGCGGCAAAGAGAGGAACCGCCACCAAUUUGCGGGAUUGCUUUGGCAAAACGCGUAAACACAGAUGAAGGCUCACGAUCUUGACCUCGAGGCACUAUAGAAGCAAAUUGGGAAACGAUCAACGAUGUUGAUUCACCAAGCUACCACUCUUUCGAAUAAUCCAGCUGGCUGAUUGCCAAGUGGUGCGAACACCAAGGAGUGCUCCUCAAUUUCUCUCUCAGCGACAUCGAAAAAAACAUGAACAGAGAAGUCGCAAAGAAAAGCUGCAUCGCUCUGGUUGGGAAGAAGAUGCGGGAAGAAGAUGCAUCAUCCAUUCCCUGCAAGAACUCGCCAUCCGCAUCAGAGAAGUCACACAGGGAUCUGGAGGGUAUGCGUUCAUGUGGCAAGAAUGUAUGGACAAGCGAGCCAUUUUCUUGAAUGAACCGUACCUGGACCCCUGCGUCAUAGAGAAGGCCAAAAUUGUUCUGGAAGGCCAAGACACGAUGGUGCCCGUAAAACACCAAGCAAAGCUUUCCUGCCGUGCACACCGGUAUUGCCACUAGUAAUCACUUACUCUGGCGCCUCGCACCUUCCGAGAAGCAAGUAAUCAAAAACAGGUGCUUCAUUUACGAGAACUUAAAGCCUACUGAGGCAAAUGCCACCCCUUUGUCUGGCGCCAUCUUCGACAAGUGAUCAACAACAAGGCAGAGGAAGAACGAAGUCACAAUCAUGUGACGACAUACCAAACCCCUACAUACAGCACAGGGACUUGUCAUCUAACAGCAAGGACUGGUCUCGUCUGUCAGCAAAUGUGUUUUCACCUCCCCCAUUCAAAUUGGUUUUGUGUCUUGAUGGAUUGGAAUCAGAAGUAACAGGAGCUUCAGCUGAUGAAACAUGUCAAGGAUUUUACGGCAAAUCUCUACGAAGCCUUCAAUCAGCUACCUCCAGAUCCAACACACAACCUUUGAAUGUCAACUCUUUUAAAAGUAGUCUUGAUUACUACACCUCAUAAAUAUUCAUGUUCAAAUUGGAGCAUGUCAUUGGCCAAUUCUACCGUGUGUCUGGAAAGUAAAAAUGAUACACGCCCAGUUGACGUCUCCCAGUGAGUAUCCAGCUCAGUACCAUGCGGUAUCUUUUCUGGUAGCACCAAAAAUUCCCUCUGGAACCAGUGACACAUGCAAACAUAGUCUGUGGCAUGAAGUAACCUUUAUGGAAGCAGUCUGGUUUUUGUAGUCCUUGUAACUACUGCAGUAAGGCACCAGACUAUUUCAUUGACUGACAAAGAACUUGAAUAUCUUGUGCUGAAAGAAGAUACAAAAUCUAUGAAGGCCGUUAUCGACAAAGCAUUGAGGCCACUAAAAAGGCAGCGAGGCUACUAAAUAUUUUAUGAGGUGUAGUAAAACAAAUACAGCAUGGUUUAUUUCUGAAAAAUAGUUGAAAUUACUGGUCUCGAGGUGUAGGUUGGCUUUGCAUCGGGAGGUAGUCUUGAAGUUGACCUACAUCUCAGGACCAGUAAUUCCCACUACUUCCCCACAAACCAUGCUGUAAAUGUACAUCCACUCGUCCGAGUUGAACCUCUAAGACUUGUCUAAAUGUCAGUGAUUACAAUAUUAAACUCAUUGAGUUUCAAUCAUAAAAAAAAUUGGCAGGGUGAGUAGUACUGGGUCUUUAUACUGACUGUCUUGGGUUUUUUUUUCAAUGUGAAGGAAUGGAUAUCACUAGGCCGUUCUUUGAUUAAGUAUGAAUUACAAUAGCCCUAAAUUCUUGAAAAUAAGCUUGAUAUUUGGGAAGAGAUGUAGGAUAUUAGUGCUGCAUUCCAUAUAUAUUAUAUCUAACUCCUCAUAUUAAAAAUCCCGUAACUUCAAAUUUUUUAAAGUAAUUUGAAUGAUUAUUGUGCUAAAAGAGAGCUUAUGAAUGGGUCUUUUGUAUCCUGGAUCUUUUAAUUGCUACAUGCAGAACUUCACUAAAACAAUGGUCCCGACAUUUGGGUUAGGUUUUUUUUACUCACCAAGUAUAAUGUAUAUGUACACUACUGGAAAAACUAUGACUAAUGCAUUGUGGAGCACAUGAGGAUUAAUAGGUAUACAGGAAAGAAUCUUGAGGAUUAAUAAGUAUACAGGAAAGACGAAUGUUAAAACUUCAAAAAAAAGUAAUGAUGAUAAUUAAAGAGUGAUACAUGUAAUUAACUAAAAGUUAAAACAAA